rnacentral:rRNA from 1 species
GACGAACGCUGGCGGCGUGCUUAACACAUGCAAGUCGAGCGGAAAGGCCCUUUCGGGGGUACUCGAGCGGCGAACGGGUGAGUAACACGUGAGUAAUCUGCCCCUGGCUUUGGGAUAGCCACCGGAAACGGUUAUUAAUACCGGAUACGACUACUUCUUGCAGGGGUAGGCGGUGGAAAGUUUUUCGGCCAGGGAUGUGCUCGUGGCCUAUCAGCUUGAUGGUGAGGUAAUGGCUCACCAUGGCUUCGACAGGUAGCCGGCCUGGGAGGGGGACCGGUCACACUGGGACUGAGACACGGCCCAGACUCCUACGGGAGGCAGCAGUGGGGAAUAUUGGACAAUGGGCGGAAGCCUGAUCCAGCAACGCCGCGUGAGGGAUGACGGCCUUCGGGUUGUAAACCUCUUUCAGCAGGGACGAAGCGCAAGUGACGGUACCUGCAGAAGAAGCACCGGCCAACUACGUGCCAGCCGCCGCGGUAA